AAGGAAUAGCCACUGGAAACGGUGAGUAAUACCUUAUACGCCCUUCGGGGGAAAGAUUUAUCGGAGAAGGAUCGGCCCGCGUAAGAUUAGAUAGUUGGUGGGGUAAUGGCCUACCAAGUCUACGAUCUUUAGCUGGUUUUAGAGGAUGAUCAGCAACACUGGGACUGAGACACGGCCCAGACUCCUACGGGAGGCAGCAGUGGGGAAUCUUAGACAAUGGGCGCAAGCCUGAUCUAGCCAUGCCGCGUGAGUGACGAAGGCCUUAGGGUCGUAAAGCUCUUUCGCCUGUGAUGAUAAUGACAGUAGCAGGUAAAGAAACCCCGGCUAACUCCGUGCCAGCAGCCGCGGUAAUACGG
rnacentral:rRNA from 1 species